rnacentral:rRNA from 1 species
GUCCCGGCCCUAAACGGUGCGCAUUUGCUGUAGGAGGAAUCGACCCCUUCUGUGGCGAAGCUAACGCGAUAAAUGCGCCGCCUGGGGAGUACGGUCGCAAGAUUAAAACUCAAAGAAAUUGACGGGGGCCUGCACAAGCGGUGGAGUAUGUGGCUUAAUUCGAUGCAACGCGAAGAACCUUACCUGGCCUUGACAUGCAUGUGGUAGAACCGUGAAAGCGGGACGACCCCGCAAGGGGAGCAUGCACAGGUGCUGCAUGGCUGUCGU